UACGUAGGUCCCGAGCGUUAUCCGGAUUUAUUGGGCGUAAAGCGAGCGCAGGUGGUUUAUUAAGUCUGGUGUAAAAGGCAGUGGCUCAACCAUUGUAUGCAUUGGAAACUGGUAGACUUGAGUGCAGGAGAGGAGAGUGGAAUUCCAUGUGUAGCGGUGAAAUGCGUAGAUAUAUGGAGGAACACCGGUGGCGAAAGCGGCUCUCUGGUCUGUAACUGACGCUGAGGUUCGAAAGCGUGGGUAGCAAACAGG
rnacentral:rRNA from 1 species